rnacentral:lncRNA from 1 species
GUAUUUUUAAAUUUAUUUUUUCAAAAUAAUGACAUUAGUAAAAAUUUUACAUAGCCUGUAUUGAAUUCACACAUUCAAAUGAGGCUUUACCAGUAAUGAUGGGGAUUAAUACAGAGCUAGUGUUUGGCAUUUGACUUUAUCUCAAAUGAGCUAACUGCUCAAUGAAUUACAGAAGACUCAUACUCUUUUUAUUUUUUCCUGGAAAUUAAAAAAGAAAAGCUUUACUAAAUAUUGACAUAUAUAUUUACUCCAAAUUUUACAUUUAGUGAAAUAAGAAUAUCUCUAGUAGCUCAGUUAACAUCAACAGAAAGCUUCAAAAGAUGAUUCUGAAAAUGGCAGGCAAAAUUUCUUUUUAUUGUAGGCAAUUACUUAAACUGGAAAUUUGGCUUUAUGCAUAAUAAGUCAUGUGGGUAAAACAUCCACAUUGCAGUUAGGUUUCCAGUAUCUAGCUUUUAUUUAUUUUUUAGCAAUGACAUUAACAAGAUUUUGCCAGGUUAUAAAAAUGAGGGCUUUCUUGAGAAUUACUUAUAGUUUCCGAGUUGAAUGGCAGAGCGCACGUAGACACAUCUGAAGGUGGAUGGCUGUAUCUCCCAGUACUGGACCGGGUUGCUGAAAAGACUCACACCCGAAUAAGAAGCCUUUUUGGUGUUGUGUCCAGGUGGGCAGAAGUCACUUGAUCCAACUACAGAGAUAUUGUUGUUAUGAAGGUAGACAACCUGGAUGUACUUAUGCUCUGCCAGCCCACCAGGUACUCUGGUAAGCUUGUUGUUGUCCAAGUGAAGCUCCCUCAGAUGAGGCGUGUUGGCCAGAGAGCCAUUGUCAACAGCAGAGAUGCUGUUGAAACUCAAUCCCAACUUAGCCAAAUUAUUCAGUCCUUUCAGGCUAGCUGCAUCAACUCUGCUGAUUUUGUUGCCAUCAAGAUGUAAUUCCGUAAGGGAAGGAGGAAGACCUUGAGGAAUGCUGGUGAUAUUGGUAUCAGCAAUGCGGAUGUAGGAGAGCUUCUUCAUUCCCUGGAAAGCCCCAUUUUCAAUUCCUGAGCUCUUCAGCGGAUUGGUGCCCAGUUCUAUGACAAUCAUCUGGUUCAGUCCAUUGAAAGUAACUUUUCGCACUUUGGUGAUCUCAUUCUCAUGGGCACGCAGCUCCUGAAGAGUUUUGGGCAUUUUUUCUGGCAAUUCCUUCAGCUGAUUCUUGGACAGAUAAAGUCGUUCCAACUUCACCAAAGGUGUAAAUGCUCCAGGACUAACUUUGCUAAUUUUAUUGUUGACAAGAAUCAAUGCGUGAAGGUUCUUCAGGUUCUUAAAGUCUCCAUCUUUGAUUUCGGUUAUUUUGUUGUUUUGCAGGUCUAGCAGAGUUGUGUCAGGGGGAAGAUCCUUUGGCACUUUGUCCAGACCCAAAUCAGAACACUGGACCACUCGAAGAUGGCAUUGACAGCGGAAGGGGCACACUGGGCCUAGGGAGGGCUCGAAGUCGCGGUCAUCAGGAACUUCUGGGCCUAUCCCAGAAGCCUCAUCUUCUAGCAUAAAGUCAAAUAAGCCUCUCUGUUGAAACGGUCCAGCCCAGGAAACUUGUGCAAGCAGAAGGAGGAUGAUAGUGGCCUUCAUGAUUUAUCUCAUGUAUUUUCACAACCAGGGAACCUUGCAAGAGAGUUGUAAAGAUUAAAUGAGAUAGUGGGCUUCUCUUCUGUGUCCCCUGGCUCAUCCAGGCAAGAUGCUGCUUUCUCCCUCUUCUCUGCUCCCAAAGCACGUUGCUCUUACCUCUUUUAAAGAACUUAUCACAUUAUAUUGCAAUUUGUUUUGCGUGCUUGGUCUGUCCCUCACUAGACGAUGUACUCCUUCAGGGCGUGUCUUAUUAUUCCUUGUUCUGUACCCG